ensembl:lncRNA NR2F1-AS1 NR2F1 antisense RNA 1
UAGCGCCAACACGCCCUCAGGUAAAGGUGGAAGUAAAUGGCCACGCUGUAUUGACAGAGGUAGGGUUUGUUUUUUAAUACUCGUUCUCACUUUAAGUCUCACCAGGGAGGGGUUUGGGAAGCACUGCGUGUUUGGGGGACGUUUUGCGCUUCCUGGUCUCUCCAGCCUACAAGUCGGGAGUCGGCGACCGCUUAGUGACGAGCGAUGAUUUUAAAGAGCAGAAUAAAAGGUUUUCCCGUGCCUGCCCCACAGCCCCUCCAGCUCGAAUAAUGGAGAACUGUCAAUGCACUCCGCGAGCGGUGGCCCAUUGUACGCAGCUGAUGGCGAGGAGGCGACUGGGGGUAGCAGGGGCUCCUUGCCCUCGUCCCUAUGCCCAAAUAAACGCGCAAACGCGCUCCCGUCUUCUGGUCAGUUAAAAGGUGAAACGAACACGAUUAAAAUAGACCAAAAGAAAAGAAAGAAAAGAAAACCUUUCUAUGUACAGAUUCUAAAUCGUACUCCCCAUACAGUCAGAGGCAGGGAGUCGAGGGCAGAGGCAGCAGGCGGAGAGAGGGAGAUAGGGCGAGGGAAGGAGAACGCGGAGAGAGACGAAGGGAGUGGGAGACCAGCGACAGCGAGCGCCAGGGCACCGCAGGCACACUGGAUGCCCAGUCCGCCGGCCCAGCCGCCCUCGGACCCUGGACCGUGCGUCGUGGGCACCAGAAACGAGACUCGGCCAAAUCCUGCCUCACCAGCAGGUAGAUGAAACUCAAGAGAAAAGGUGUGGAUAAAUGAAACUAGCCCAUGAUGAACCUGUUUUCUCCGUGACCACAAUAUUAACCAGGAUGAAUGGCGGUGGCAGUGGGCCUGCAUCACAGGUUGCAGCAGAUGUUCUCAAUAUUUCUAUUAAAAUUUCCUUAUUUCCAUAUGCAAGAGGAGCCCCAGAGCUGCAUCCUUAUGGUAGCUACCAUGCCGUGAUGUAAGCUGCCAUUCACUGGGGAGCUUUGGCAAUAGAAUUGGCUAGAUCAGGAAGCCUAUGUCAACUAUGGAACAACAACUUGCAGCUCAUCUCUAUUGAUGGGUGAAGGUACGCUCAAGCGUCGUCACUGAGGACAAGUUAACGAGAGAUUCCCGAGUAUGUCUACAGUCAGCCUUGCGAUAUUUGAAGUUGUACAAUGAACCCAUCAGAGAUGCAAAGAAAAGCACCUCCAUGGAGAUGGAGACACCGCAGUUGAGCACCAUCGACUCACAAGAUGAAUAGAAUGGUGAUGUCAGAACAGAUGAAGUUGCCAUCCACCAAGAAGGCAGAGCCACCGACUUGGGCACAAUUAAAGAAGCUGACAGAGUUAGCUAAAAAAAAAAAGCCUAGAGAACACAAAGGUGACACAAACUUCAGAGAACAUGCUGUUUGCAGCUUUGAUGAUUGUAUCAACGGUGUGUGCAGGUGUACCUAGCAGCUCCAAAGAGACAGCGACCAUCGAGGACAAGCCAUGAUGACAAUGGUGGUUUUGUCAAAAAGAAAAGGGGGAAAUGUGGGGAAGAGAAAGAGAGAUCAGACUGUUACUGUGUCUAUGUAGAAAGAAGUAGACAUAAGAGACUCCAUUUUGUUCUGUACUAAGAAAAAUUAUUUUGCCUCGAGAUGCUGUUAAUCUGUAACCCUACCCUUAACCCUGUGCUGGCAGAAACACGUGCUGUGACGACUCAAGGUUUAGUGGAUUUAGGGCUAUGCAGGAUGUGCUUUGUUAAACAAAUGCUUGAAGGCAGCAUGCUUGUUAAAAGUCAUCACCACUCCCUAAUCUCAAGUACCCGGGGACACAAAACACUGUGGAAGGCUGCAGGGACCUCUGCCUAGGAAAGCCAGGUAUUGUCCAAGGUUUCUCCCCAUGUGGUAAUCUGAAAUAUGGCCUCGUGGGAAGGGAAAGACCUGACCGUUCCCCAGCCCGACACCCGUAAAGGGUCUGUGCUGAGGAGGAUUAGUAAAAGAGGAAGGCCUCUUUGCAGUUGAGAUAAGAGGAAGGCAUCUGUCUCCUGCUCGUCCCUGGGCAAUAGAAUGUCUGGGUGUAAAACCCGAUUGUAUAUUCCAUCUACUGGAGAUAGGAGAAAACCGCCUUAGGGCUGGAGGUGAGACAUGCUGGCGGCAAUAGGCAAUAGUGCUCUUUAAAGCAUUGAGAUGUUUAUGUAUGUGCACAUUAAAAGCACAGCACCUUUUUCUUUACCUUGUUUAUGAUGUAGAGAUGUUUGUUCACGUUUUCCUGCUGACCCUCUCCCCACUAUUACCCUGUUGUCCUGCCACUCUCCAUUGUCUCCCUGUUGUCCCCCUCUCCGAUAUGGUAGAGAUACUAAUGAAUAAAUACUGAGGGAACUCAGAGACCGGUGCCGGCGUGGGUCCUCCAUAUGCUGAACGCCGGUUCCCUGGGCCC